rnacentral:rRNA from 1 species
AGCGAACGCUGGCGGCAGGCCUAACACAUGCAAGUCGAACGCGUGUAGCAAUACACGAGUGGCAGACGGGUGAGUAACACGUGGGAACGUGCCCUUCGGUUCGGAAUAACUCAGGGAAACUUGAGCUAAUACCGGAUACGCCCUUACGGGGAAAGAUUUAUCGCCGAAGGAUCGGCCCGCGUCUGAUUAGCUAGUUGGUGAGGUAACGGCUCACCAAGGCGACGAUCAGUAGCUGGCUGAGAGGAUGAUCAGCCACACUGGGACUGAGACACGGCCCAGACUCCUACGGGAGGCAGCAGUGGGGAAUCUUGCGCAAUGGGCGAAAGCCUGACGCAGCGACGCCGCGUGA